GUUCCUGGACUUCAAAGUGCUGGCUGCUGUGCUAACGAGGAGAGAUUUGCAUAAGGCCCUAAUCACGCGCAUACUGAUUAAGCUUCAUUAUGGAAACUGCCAGCUGCAAUCUUUGUUUCUAUUUUAUUACAAAAAGGGGAACUUUUCAUGCUUCAGUUGCCUUGACAAUGUCAGUCCUAGCUGGUAGGAGAGACUAAAACUCCUCUGAGCAACUGAAGUUUCCUUAUUCAGCUGAAGAUUGCUAUGGUGUAACUGAAGUUGUAUUUUGCUUCUCCUGUUAAUCCACUUUCCACUCCCCACCCUGUUCUCUGAAGAACAUGGUGCAGAUUUGUUAGAAAUAGUGCUACCUUCUUUCCCCCACCCCAGACCGCUACCUGUUUCUUGCUUGCUUUGGAUUGUCCACACCUCUAGAAGACUUCACAGCGAUGCUGGACUGCAGUGACUGUGUUCUAGGUGGGUACCAGCACAGUUCUUUCUUAGAAGCUUUAAUAUGGAAAUAGCACGUAAGGGGUUGACUAUGCUUAAAUGCUUAAUCACAUGCAGCCAAGGCAAGGGAGGGGGAGAGGUGGUUGAGUGAGGAAGAAGGAAAGCAUUUGCAAAGCACUAUGUGUGCUUGAGUGAGCUGUGGUCCCUCCCUAUGCGGGCUCUUCUGGUUCCGAGCGUACUUUGAAUAGUGUGGAUUGAGAAUUUGACCUCAAUGGGGGACAUUUUUUACUUUUGGGGGACUUCUGUGGAAAGCAUUUAAUACAAAUUCUAAAAAAAAAUUUUUAAAUCAGAAACAAGGUUUGAACUGUACCUAAAUAAUAUAAAAUGUACAUAUUAAUAAAAUUUUUGCAAACCUAGUAUCUCAGUGAAAAAUGAAGUGGAGCCAUCACCUAGAAUUGUUUCCGUACAUACUAUUGCAACAUUGUAGUGUUGACUGCAGUUUAUGUAUUGACCCAUUUCCAGAUUUUAGACAUUAUGAACUUUUAAAAUUCCAAGAUUAUGCCUUGUUUUUGUGUUGAAACCAACUAUCUUUUGUAGAAAACUAUGGUUUUAAGUAUUGGAAAGCUUAUCUUAAAAAGAGUUUUCCCUAUAGACAAGCAAGCCUUUAGAGAGGGAGGUAUCCUACUUUAAUUUUAAUGUAUACACUGCCUUUGGUUGUCUGAGAUUUAAAAUAGAUAGAGGCAUUCUGGUAUUGAGGCAGAUGGUGGCUCCUGGUGGCCACAUUUUGUGUGGAGUUUUGUUUAUUUCUCUAUAGUAUUAAUGAAACCUUUUUAGGUUAUUGUAGUCACCAGAAAAGUCAGGGGAUAGAAACUCCGGGAGUUGGAUACAUUAAGUCUAAAACUUCUGCUGAUGAUUUUUCUUUUCCUGUGUGUCAUUUUUCCUACUUGAAAAUUGAGGCUACUUCGGUCACCUUCCCAGUUGCCAAGGGAAAAUAAAUUGAUCAUUCUGAAGAUGGAUGAAUUCUUAUGCAGAAGGCAUGGCCUGAACCCAAGGUAGUAGUUACAUGGUUCCCCACAAUAAAAAUCCCCAUCUAAAGGGCACAUGAUGAGCAGUACAUGGAUG
rnacentral:lncRNA from 1 species